AACGAACGCUGGCGGCAUGCCUAACACAUGCAAGUCGAACGAGACCUUCGGGUCUAGUGGCGCACGGGUGCGUAACACGUGGGAAUUUGCCUCGGGGUAUGGAAUAACUCAGGGAAACUUGAGCUAAUACCAUAUAAUGUCUUCGGACCAAAGAUUUAUCGCCCUGAGAUAAGCCCGCGUAGGAUUAGCUAGUUGGUGGGGUAAAGGCUCACCAAGGCGACGAUCCUUAGCUGGUCUGAGAGGAUGAUCAGCCACACUGGGACUGAGACACGGCCCAGACUCCUACGGGAGGCAGUCAGUGGGGAAUAUUGGACAAUGGGCGAAAGCCUGAUCCAACAAUGCCGCGUGAGUGAUGAA
rnacentral:rRNA from 1 species